rnacentral:rRNA from 1 species
CUUACAUCUCUUCGGAGCAUUUUACGAGGUGCUGCAUGGUGUCGUCAGCUCGUGCCGUGAGGUGUCGGGUUAAGUCCCAUAACGAGCGCAACCCUACCUUUAGUUGCCAUCAGGUAAUGCUGGGGACUCUAAAGGAACUGCCUACGCAAGUAGUGAGGAAGGCGGGGAUGACGUCAAAUCAGCACGGCCCUUACGUCCAGGGCUACACACGUGCUACAAUGGCCGAUACAGAGGGCAGCUACCUGGUGACAGGAUGCAAAUCUCCAAAGUCGGUCUCAGUUCGGAUCGGAGUCUGCAACCCGACUCCGUGAAGUUGGAUUCGCUAGUAAUCGCGCAUCAGCCAUGGCGCGGUGAAUACGUUCCCGGGCCUU